rnacentral:rRNA from 1 species
ACAUCCACGGAAGUUUUCAGAGAUGAGAAUGUGCCUUCGGGAACCGUGAGACAGGUGCUGCAUGGCUGUCGUCAGCUCGUGUUGUGAAAUGUUGGGUUAAGUCCCGCAACGAGCGCAACCCUUAUCCUUUGUUGCCAGCGGUCCGGCCGGGAACUCAAAGGAGACUGCCAGUGAUAAACUGGAGGAAGGUGGGGAUGACGUCAAGUCAUCAUGGCCCUUACGACCAGGGCUACACACGUGCUACAAUGGCGCAUACAAAGAGAAGCGACCUCGCGAGAGCAAGCGGACCUCAUAAAGUGCGUCGUAGUCCGGAUUGGAGUCUGCAACUCGACUCCAUGAAGUCGGAAUCGCUAGUAAUCGUGGAUCAGAAUGCCACGGUGAAUACGUUCCCGGGCCUUGUACACACCGCCCGUCACACCAUGGGAGUGGGUUGCAAAAGAAGUAGGUAGCUUAACCUUCGGGAGGGCGCUUACCACUUUGUGAUUCAUGACUGGGGUGAAGUCGUAACAAGGUAGGCGUAGCGAG